rnacentral:rRNA from 1 species
GACGAACGCUGGCGGCGUGCCUAAUACAUGCAAGUCGAGCGGAUUAGUUUGAAAGCUUGCUUUCAAACUGGUUAGCGGCGGACGGGUGAGUAACACGUGGGUAACCUGCCCAACAGACCGGGAUAACAGUCGGAAACGAUUGCUAAUACCGGAUACGCGAUUCUGUUGCAUGACGGAAUCGGGAAAGGCGGAGCAAUCUGCCACUGAUGGAUGGACCUGCGGCGCAUUAGCUAGUUGGUGAGGUAACGGCUCACCAAGGCGACGAUGCGUAGCCGACCUGAGAGGGUGAUCGGCCACACUGGGACUGAGACACGGCCCAGACUCCUACGGGAGGCAGCAGUAGGGAAUCUUCCGCAAUGGGCGAAAGCCUGACGGAGCAACGCCGCGUGAGUGAUGAAGGUUUUCGGAUCGUAAAGCUCUGUUGCCAGGGAAGAACGGCCAGGAGAGUACCUGCUCCUGGUUUGACGGUACCUGAGAAGAAAGCCCCGGCUAACUACGUGCCAGCAGCCGCCGUAA